GGUGGUUCAGUGGUAGAGCGCUUGCCUAGCAUGCAUGAAGUCCUGGGUUCGAUUCCUCAGCACCA
rnacentral:tRNA from 1 species